rnacentral:rRNA from 1 species
GCAUAUCAAUAAGCGGAGGAAAAGAAACCAACAGGGAUUGCCCCCAGUAACGGCGAGUGAAGCGGCAACAGCUCAAAUUUGAAAUCUGGCCUCGGCCCGAGUUGUAAUUUGCAGAGGAAGCUUUAGGCGCGGCACCAUCUGAGUCCCCUGGAACGGGGCGCCACAGAGGGUGAGAGCCCCGUAUAGAUGGACGCCUAGCCUGUGUAAAGCUCCUUCGACGAGUCGAGUAGUUUGGGAAUGCUGCUCAAAAUGGGAGGUAAAUUUCUUCUAAAGCUAAAUACCGGCCAGAGACCGAUAGCGCACAAGUAGAGUGAUCGAAAGAUGAAAAGCACUUUGAAAAGAGGGUUAAAUAGCACGUGAAAUUGUUGAAAGGGAAGCGCUUGUGACCAGACUUGCGCCGGGCGGAUCAUCCGGUGUUCUCACCGGUGCACUCCGCCCGGCUCAGGCCAGCAUCGGUUCUCGCGGGGGGAUAAAGGCACCGGGAACGUAGCUCCCUCGGGAGUGUUAUAGCCCGGGGCGUAAUGCCCUCGCGGGGACCGAGGACCGCGCUUCGGCAAGGAUGCUGGCGUAAUGGUCAUCAGCGACCCGUCUUGAAACACGGACCAAGGAGUCAAGGUUUUGCGCGAGUGUUUGGGUGUAAAACCCGCACGCGUAAUGAAAGUGAACGUAGGUGAGAGCUUCGGCGCAUCAUCGACCGAUCCUGAUGUUUUCGGAUGGAUUUGAGUAGGAGCGUUAAGCCUUGGACCCGAAAGAUGGUGAACUAUGCUUGGAUAGGGUGAAGCCAGAGGAAACUCUGGUGGAGGCUCGCAGCGGUUCUGACGUGCAAAUCGAUCGUCAAAUCUGAGCAUGGGGGCGAAAGACUAAUCGAACCAUCUAGUAGCUGGUUACCGCCGA